AGAGUUUGAUCCUGGCUCAGGAUAAACGCUGGCGGCGCACAUAAGACAUGCAAGUCGAACGGAAGUCGUUAUAAAAUGGAUUGAAGAUUUAUCAGAUUGAAAUUUUAUAACAAUGGCUUUAGUGGCGGACUGGUGAGUAACGCGUAAGUAAUCUGCCUGUUAGAGGGGAAUAACAAUGAGAAAUCAUUGCUAAUACCGCAUAUGCCAUAGAGGAGGCAUCUUCAUAGUGGGAAAGGAGCAAUCCGCUAACAGAUGAGCUUGCGUCUGAUUAGUUAGUUGGUGGGGUAACGGCCUACCAAGACGACGAUCAGUAGCCGG
rnacentral:rRNA from 1 species